AUGGAUGAUACCAAUGUGAGUGAUCAUGAGCCCAUAUUUAAUUCAUCUGCGGCAGAAUCUACUAGUGUUGAUGAGGAACCAGUUAGUGUGGAUAUUUAUGAUCCAAGCAAUUGGGGUAAUCUUGAUAACAAAGCGAGGGACAUAUUAGUGGAAAAGGGGCCUAAAAGGGAAGAACAAAACACUAAAUAUCCUUUGGAUGAAAAUUUAAGACAUUUUUCGUAUAGCCAUUACUCAAGAAAGAUGAGCAAUGGAGAGGUGCGUGAUAGAAAAUGGUUAGUGUUUUCAAAACACACAAAGAAAGUGUUCUGUUUUUGCUGUAAGCUUUUCAAUUCUGAUAAAUGCAAGAGUGCAAUGGGGAAUGAUGGGUUUUGUGAUUGGAGGCAUAUUAAUGAGACACUGAAAGAGCACGAAGCUAGUGUCGACCAUAUUACCAACAUGAACUCAUGGAAUGAAUUGAGAGUUAGACUGAGCAAGCAUGAGACAAUUGACAAAGAUUUACAGCAACAAAUCACAAAGGAGAAAGAA
rnacentral:rRNA from 1 species